AUGGAAGAGCUUGACGCUAGGAUGUCUACUCAAAUGGAAGAGUUUUGUGCUUUGAUGGUCAACCAUUCUUCUAUGACAUCGUCAUCAUCAAGACGGUGCCACUCAAGCCGACAUUCUUCGGAUGCAAGUCUUCCCCGAGCUCGUCCGCAUUGUCGCCAAGACCAUGAAGAUCAUCAAGCUCCACAAAACUCAUUUCAUGGCAAUGGUUUACAAGACAGCCUCCGGGAACGUGAGCGACAUCGUCGUCAAGCUAAUGAUCCUGCUUUCCAAGAGCCUCCAAUACGCCAAGAUCACCAAGAAAACCAAGACGGCGACACCCUACAACAAGAACGACAACGUCGCGAGGAACAAGGCCAAGAAGCUCAACGUGCCCUACGUGAAGCCACACGAGUCGUCAAUGAACACAACCGCUGUGUGCGCGAACAAGAGGCCCUCCAACGAGAGCGACAAGAAGAAGUCGCGCGCCUUGAGGAGCACCUAGAGUUGAGGAACCGUUCAAGAAUUCCACACCCUCAACGUCAAGCUAAUCAGGAGCACGAGGAGCAAGCGCUUGAAGAUCCUCCGCGACAAAAGCGUCAUCACCAUUGCCACCAACACAAUGAAGAGCAACGCUACGGCAAGCUCAAGUUCACCAUGCCUAAGUUCUCCGAAAGCAAUGAUCCCAAAGACUUCCUUUCAUGGGCAUUGAAGGUCGACAAGGUCUUUCAUUUACACAACUAUGAAGAAGAAAAGAAGACUGCCAUGGCAUCUCUUGAGUUCCAAGACUAUAUCUUCAUUUGGUGGGAGCAAGUCAUUGAGCGACGGGAAGCAAAAGGUAACCCACCAAUCACAACAUGGAAUCAAAUGAAGGAUGUCAUGCGAGCGCGCUUUGUACCCACGUACUAUAGCCGCGACCUAUUCAAGAAAUUGCAACUACUCAAGCAAGGCACCAAGUCCAUUGAAGGGUAUUACAAGGAAAUGGAGAUCGCCAUGAUCCGAGCCAAUGUCAUGAAAGAUGAGGAGCAAACUAUGGCACGGUUCUUAAACGGACUCAACCAUCCUAUCAAGAAGAUUGAUGAUUUCCAACCGUAUUCGAACCUCCUCGAGCUAGUGCACCAAGCUACCAAGGCGGAGUGA
rnacentral:rRNA from 1 species